rnacentral:lncRNA from 1 species
CUAAAAGACAUAUAUGGUAGAAUCGUAACCAUAGAAUACAACCCUAAUCAAAAUGCAUACAUUUGUCUCAUACACUAUAGGGAUGGUGAGAAGAGAUUAAUGAUGGAAGCUAACUUUAGUUGGUUAAUCCAAGCAAUUUAUUGAUGGUCCUAAUGACAAUCUUGCAUGAUUCUCUUGUGUAUCUCACUGGUGGAUUCAAAAAAUUGCAUGAAUUGACUUGGGUUACAGGUGUGGUUCUAGGGGUAUUGAUUGCAUCUUUUGACGUAAUUGGUUAUUCCUUUCCUCGGGAUCAAAUUGGUGAUUGAGCGGUGAAUUGUAACAAGUGUACCUUAAGCUAUUCGUGCGCCUUUGGUAGACUUAAUGUACGGAAAUGCUAGUCUGGUACAAUUCACUUUGACUCUUUUUUAUACUUUACACACUUUUGUAUUGUCACUUACUGUUGUAUUUAUGUUAAUGCACUUUCCAAUGAUACGUAAAUAAGGUAUUUCUGGUCCUUUAUAGAAAAGACAUAUAAUAGAUAUUUGUAAUCAAUCAUUUAUCACUUGUAGGAGAUAUAACAGUAUUUCAUUGCUACAAGUAUGGAUUAUUGAAAAUAUUGAAUAAAUAAAUUUAAUGGUUAUUGUGAAAUGCAAUAUGAACUUAGAUGAUUGAGAAAAUAAAUUGUGAAAUAACAAC